GCCGCGGUGGCGGAAUUGGCAGACGCACAGGACUUAGGAUCCUGUAGGUUAAUAAACCUGUGGGAGUUCGACCCUCCCCCGCGGCACCA
rnacentral:tRNA from 1 species